rnacentral:rRNA from 1 species
AUGGUGGCCUCGGCGUCCAGGACCUCGAGCGCACGGGACUAUCGCUCCGGCUGCGUUGGCUCUGGCUCGCGCGCACAGACACAGAUCGAGCUUGGCAGGGGCUGGACCUGCAAUUCACGACGGAGGAGCGAGCGCUCUUUUACGCUUCCACGACCAUGGCCAUCGGUGACGGCAGGACGGCCCUUUUCUGGGAGGACCGCUGGCUCAGCGGCCAAUCCGUCCACGAGCUCGCGCCCAUGCUUAUCCAGUGCAUACCCAAACAGCGCAGGAAGUCCAGAACGGUGGCGGAGGCCCUAG